UAGGGAAUAUUAGUAAUGGGCGAAAGCCUGAACUAGCAACGCCGCGUGUGCGAAGAAGGCCUUCGGGUUGUAAAGCACUUUUUGAGAGGAUGAGGAAGGACGGUACUCUCAGAAUAAGUCUCGGCUAACUACGUGCCAGCAGCCGCGGUAACACGUAGGAGGCGAACGUUAUCCGGAUUUACUGGGCGUAAAGCGCGUGUAGGUGGUUUGGUAAGUAGGGCGUGAAAGCUCCUGGCUCAACUGGGAGAGGCCGUUCUAAACUGCCGAACUAGGGGAUGGUAGAGGGAG
rnacentral:rRNA from 1 species